UGGUUUAUUUUAUGAGUGAAGAGAAUAGAAGAGAAACUCAUAUCAACGUAUUAUUAUAUUUUAUUAAUAAUAAGGAUAAAAUGAUAAUGUUUUAAUUUUAACAAUUAAAAUAUUUUUAAAUUAUUAAACUCCUCAACUUCAUCAUUUUCCUCUCCCAUCUUCAAGUUCAAACACAUCCUUAAUCCAAUCAACUCCACUAUCAUAUCUCUUUCCUCUUAUAUUUACUUAAAUUCACUCUUUCAAAUAUUUCUUUAGAAACAAACAUAGACCUUGUUUUUCAACAAAUUUUCAAUUAUAUUAACAAAAAUCGUUCAUUAUUUUUUAACAAUCACGAUAUUCUCUUAUAUUAUACAUAAAAUCUCAUAUUUUUUAAUUUAUGUAGACAAGUAAACAAGAUAAAAAUUACAGCUACGGCAUCUAGUUAAAAAAAAU
rnacentral:lncRNA from 1 species